rnacentral:lncRNA from 1 species
AGACAGUCCCUCUUUGACCCCAGGAGAAUAUGGGGACUCUCCGGUCCCCACACCACGAAGCAGCAGUGCAGCUUCCAUGGUAGAGGAAGAAGCAUCUGCGGUCACCACAGCAGCAGCCCAAUUUACUAAACUUCGGCGAGGCAUGGACGAGAAAGAGUUUACAGUUCAGAUCAAAGAUGUAAGCUCAGCAUUUAGGCACCAAGAAGUCAGGGAGGAGGUGGGACUUGUUAACUAGUUUCAUUAAUAGCAUGCUAGCACUUGGAAGGCCAAAACAGGUGGGUCACUGUGAAUGCAAGGCUAGCACUUAUUGAGUGCCAUCCUAGAUAGUGUGACCCUCUCUCUAAAAAAGAAAAGAAAAAGGGUUUAAUCCCAGCACCUGGGAGGGAGAAGCAGGGGCAUCUGAGUUUGAGGCCAGUCUGGUCUACAAAGAGAUUUCUAGGACAGCCAAGGCUACACCAGGAAACUCUUAGGGGGAAAAAAAUAAUAAAACUUUAUACACGUUUUGUUAGCUAAUUUUAAAAAUCAGAGCACAUAACAAUCCAUUUAGGAAAAAAUCUUUGGAGUAAAGGAAGGACGAAUUCCUAAAAAUUAAAUAAAAUCAUAGGUUGUUCAAUUAGAAUCAUUUUUUGGGGAAAAACAACCAUUUUACAAGGGUUGCCUAAGACCAUUGGAAAACAACGAUAUUUACAUUAUGAUUCAUAACACUAGCAAAAUUACAUUUAUGAAGUAGCAACACAAAUAAUUUUAUGGUUGGGUGUCACCAUAACUUGAACUUAUAGGAAGGCUGAGAACCACUGACAUGCACACACUUAAGUACGCACACGCGCACACGCGCGUGAACAAGAGAGAGAGAGAGAGAGAGCGCGCGCACGAGCAAGCGAGCCUAUACCAUAAAGCUUCACCAACAGGACUAGCAAACAAG